CCUACGGGAGGCUGCAGUGAGGAAUAUUGGUCAAUGGACGAGAGUCUGACCCAGCCAAGUAGCGUGAAGGAUGACUGCCCUAUGGGUUGUAAACUUCUUUUAUAUGGGAAUAAAAUGUUCCACGUGUGGGAUUUUGUAUGUACCAUAUGAAUAAGGAUCGGCUAACUCCGUGCCAGCAGCCGCGGUACUACGGAGGAGCCGAGCGUUAUCCGGAUUUAUGGGGUUUAAAGGGAGCGUAGAUGGGUUGUUAAGUCAGUUGUGAAAGCUUGCGGCUCAACCGGAAAAUAGCAAUUGAUACUGGCAGCCUUGAGUACAGUUGAGGUAGGUGGAAUUCGUGGUGUAGCGGUGAAAUGCGUAGAGAUCACGAAGAACUCCGAUGGCGAAGGCAGCCCACUAAACUGCCACUGACAUUGAUGUGCGAAAGUGUGGGGAUCAAACAGGAUUAGAUACCCUGGUAGUC
rnacentral:rRNA from 1 species